CACGUAGGGCGCAAGCGUUGUCCGGAAUUAUUGGGCGUAAAGAGCUCGUAGGCGGUCUGUUGCGUCCGCUGUGAAAACUCGGGGCUUAACCCCCGAGCCUGCAGUGGAUACGGGCAGACUAGAGGUAGGUAGGGGAGAAUGGAAUUCCCGGUGUAGCGGUGAAAUGCGUAGAUAUCAGGAGGAACACCUGUGGUGUAGACGGCUUGCUGGACCAUAACUGACGCUGAGGCACGAAAGCGUGGGUAGCAAACAGG
rnacentral:rRNA from 1 species